GUGUUCGUAGAAAGGAGAGAUGGUUGGCAUCUCCCCUGACAGGGACGGGAACAACCUUCGGUUUUACCUGUUAACCUACAUAUCCGGUUAAGGCUACCCACCUCUGGUGGAUCUAUAACCCAAUAUUUUU